rnacentral:rRNA from 1 species
GCGCACACAGUAUACCAAUAGCCUUUUCUUGCCCUGUGUCACUGGUA